rnacentral:lncRNA from 10 species
UGGUUCACGCCUGUAAUCCCAGCACUUUGGGAGGCCGAGCCUGGCGGGUCACCAGGUCAGGAGAUCGAGACCAUCCUGGCUAACACGGUGAAACCCUGUCUCUACUAAAAAUACAAAAAAUUAGCUGGGCGUGGUGGCAGGCACCUGUAGUCCUAGCUACUCCGGAGGCUGAGGCAGGAAAAUGGCAUGAACCCGGGAGGCGGAGCUUGCAGUGCGCCGAGAUAGCACCACUGCACUCCGUCCUGGGUGAAAGAGCGAGAUUCCGUCUCAAAAAAAAAAAAAAGGUGGGCCGGGCACAGUGGCUCACGCCAUGGUGAAAUCCCAUCUCUACAAAAAAAAAAAAAUACAAAACUUAGCCCAGUGUGGUGGCGGGCGUCUGUGAUCCCAGCUACUCAGGAGGCUGAGGCAGAGAAUUGCUUCAACUCGGGAGACGGAGGUUGCAGUGAGCCAAGAUUGUGCCACUGCACUCCAGCCUGGGCAGUAGAGUGUGACCCAUUCUAUGAAUUGUUAAUUAAGGUGCCAAAAAAAAUUAAUAAUAAAGCUUGGUUUUUUGAAAAACCCAUUGCUGAUAUAUUGGUUCAAUAUGAUCAAUUUCCUCUGCCUUG